CCACCUCGGCCACCUCGGGAAUCCUCCAUAGUGGCCGUGAAUGAUUGCUGUUGCAAAAUUUUUGUCGAUAUAUUGAAAUCAUCUUAUUAAUUGGAUAAUAUUUAACUAUUGGAUUUUAGAGGGGCCUCCGUUGAAGUCGGCCCAAAUUAGAUAUCAUGCGGAUCAAAUGGGCCCACUAAUGGACAACGAACCAGAUCAAUUCGACCCGACCCGACUCGACCCGUUUAAUGGACAAAGAAUCAAAGAGCCCAAUUCCUCGGAGUCUCCGCCUCCCCGCCUCUUCUACAAAUCAGCCCUCGAUAAGGAAGCAGCGGCGAUUGCAAUCUUCUCCUCCACCACCUGCAGGCUAUUCCCGGACAGAAGGUGGUAGCGGCGCUUGUGCUGCGCCGCGAGCGACCUCGUCCACCACCGCCUACACGCCACUCUGAACGGCCAUCGCCUCAGAUUUGAUUUCGUCGGAUCUUUUGAUGUAGGUCGAUGAGAACGCCGCAACUAUUCGACCGCGGCCGACGUGACUCCAAUCACAGAAUCAACGGCACGUUUAACGUUGAUGAUGACGAGCUCGGUACACACGGAACAGAUUGAGCGGAGAAGGGCAUUCGGAAGAGGGCUCUGAAGAAUCACGAUCCCUAGCGCAACAAGCUUUUUCCUUGUUUAGAGCCGAGUUUUCUGUUCCAAAAUAUCAAUUCAGAGAAAUCGGGGUACCUUCAACCAUCUCCAUCUUUAAAGAAUCCAAAGCAGAGCUCUCCAAGAGAGUUUUGUGGUGCCACAGAUUCACAUUGCAUUGUCAAGUGCAUGUUUUUGGUUGUCAAGCUCAUGGAUUCAAAAGCAAGUGGAUUCUUAAACUACUCGGGAAGGCAGAAAAGGCAACUCAAGGCAGACGAUAAAUCAAUAUCUACGAAUGAAUUGGUACGGAGUGUAGCGGCUGUUCUCGAGAAGACAGAUAAGUGGGAUGUGUUGCUUAACGAGCUCUGUGCUGCUUCUGCCUCUGGAAUCACCCCCUCGGUUGCUGUUCAAAGUCCUCAAGGGCAUCAAGAAACCUGACAUAGCCUUCGAGUGUUUUGCAUGGUUAGACAACCUUCAAGGUUUCGAGCAUGACAGUCUGACCUGACCUACUCGGCUACUCUUGUGGUUUUGACGACAGACUGUAUCCCUUUUGCAUGCUUCAAUCGCCGACUCUUUGCUUCGUAAAAUGAUACAUCUCCGCUUUGAUGUCACACCGGCAGAUUAUGAUUAUGUUCUGCACCAGUGGGCUCGUGUUGGGAGAUCCGAUAAAGGUCUGUCUUUGUUGAAUGAGUUGAUUGAUCGCGGAUUUAAUCCUUCAGUAACUUCUUGUAGCAUCCUUCUGGAGAAGUUGGUUCGAUCAAGAGAAGAGGAAUCCGGUAGGCUGUUGUUCCAUCAAAUACUUGAUAGAAGAGUUGAUGCUUUGGAUACCGAAACCUUCAAUGUUAUGAUGAAAACAAGGGAGGCCUUUUCUCUAGGAUGAAAGUGGAAGACUGUGUACCUGAUUUGGACACUUUUAAUAUCUUGAUCAAAGGUUCCUGCGAGAAAGGAGACAUGAAAAUGGUCUGCUAUCUGUUCAAUCAUAUGCUUGAUAUCAUCAAGGUAAAGCCAGAGAGCUAUACUAUAAAUCUCUUGAUCAAAGAGUUGUGCAAGCAAGAGAGGCCUGCUUGCGCAAAUUCUCUGUUCAAUCACAUGAGGGUGGGUUGGUCGGAUAGGAAGUUCAUGUAUAGCUCACAACUUGUGGAGUCUCUUUGUGAAUAUGGUUGGUGGUUAAAAGCUUUGAAGAUCUUCAUAAAAAUGGUUCCAAGAGGGCAUCAUCCAAAUAUCAGUCAUUACGAUAAUCUGAUGCAGCGCCUACGCAUGGAAGCAUUUAAAUUAAAGGAUUUCAUGUUAAAAAAGGCGUUUUUGCCUGAGAUAAAGAUAUACAAUGGAUUGAUAGAUGGAUUGUGUCUGAUUGGCAGAAUGGAAAUGGUUGACAAGCUAUAGUUGGAGCUUCAUGACAAGCAAAUACAACUUAAUCAGGAAACUUGUAAUAUGAUUCUCCGCCGGCAUUGUUUGUCGAGGAAUGCGACAACAGCAUUAGAUUGGACACAAAAGAUAAAAGAUGAGGGUUGGGAACCUGAUCUUGAGGCAUGUAAUUCUUUAUUCACCCAUCUUUCAGCGGAAGGUAAAGUUGAUGAAACAUUGGAACUCAAGUAUCAUAUCUCAACAAAGGACUGAUACCAACUUCUUUGAACACCACGAAUCUUGAGCUCAAUCAAUGUUGUAUGUAUGAGAUCGUAAAUGCUGGAUGCUGCUGCAUUAUAUAUACACACCGAGGGAAGCAAUUUUGUAACCAGCACAAGUCUACUAUGGAAAAAAUUGAUCCUAUGGUUGAUCCUCUUUGCAAUGAAGAUACUAUUUGGGAGCUUAAUGGUCUGUUAAUAAACUCAGAAUAUCUGGUUUUAAAUUGUACGAGGAUGUUAAAUUAGAGUCCCAAGGAUAUGGAUAAGCAAUAUAUUUUGAAUGACAUUGUCACCUAAUAAGAAGGUUCAAGUGUCUUCCAUGUAAACUAUACAGGAAAGAGACAUUUGUCCUUGUUCUUUUAAAGAAAAUGAAAAAAUAUCAUUAAUUGCUAA